rnacentral:misc_RNA from 1 species
GAUGAAGAACGCAACGAAAUGCGAUAAGUAAUGUGAAUUGCAGAAUUCAGUGAAUCAUCGAAUCUUUGAACGCACCUUGCGCCCUUUGGCCAUUCCGAAGGGCAUGCCUGUUUGAGUAUCAUGAACACCUCAACUCUUCAUGGUUUUCCGUGAUGAGCUUGGACUUUGGGGGUCUUGCUGGCCUAUGGUCAGCUCCUCUAAAAUAAAUCAGCUUGCCAGUGUUUGGUGGGUAUCACAGGUGUGAUAACUAUCUACGCUUGUGGUUUUCCACCAGGUAACCUUCAGCAGUGGAGGUUCGCUGGAGCUCACAGAUGUGUCUCUCCUCAGUGAGGACAGCUCUUUGAAUGUUUGAUCUCAAAUCAGGUAGGACUACCCGCUGAACUUAAGCAUAUCAAUAAGCGGAGGA